GACGAACGCUGGCGGCGUGCUUAACACAUGCAAGUCGAACGGAAAGGCCCUGCUUUUGUGGGGUGCUCGAGUGGCGAACGGGUGAGUAACACGUGAGUAACCUGCCCUUGACUUUGGGAUAACUUCAGGAAACUGGGGCUAAUACCGGAUAGGAGCUCCUGCUGCAUGGUGGGGGUUGGAAAGUUUCGGCGGUUGGGGAUGGACUCGCGGCUUAUCAGCUUGUUGGUGGGGUAGUGGCUUACCAAGGCUUUGACGGGUAGCCGGCCUGAGAGGGUGACCGGCCACAUUGGGACUGAGAUACGGCCCAGACUCCUACGGGAGGCAGCAGUGGGGAAUAUUGCACAAUGGGCGGAAGCCUGAUGCAGCAACUCCGCGUGCGGGAUGACGGCCUUCGGGUUGUAAACCGCUUGCGCCUGUGACGAAGCGUGAGUGACGGUAAUGGGUAAAGAAGCACCGGCUAACUACGUG
rnacentral:rRNA from 1 species